CUAAAUCAAAGCUCAGUGCAAGGAAGGAGGUGAGAUUCCUCAGAUAGUUAGGAGGUGAGCUUAGAAGCAGCUACCCUUUAAAAAGUGCGUAACAGCUUACUAACUAAGGGAUUUCGCGCCGAAGAUUUCCGGGGCUUAAGCUUUGUGCCGAAACUGGGGAUGGAUACCGCUUGCGGUAUCCAUGGUAGGGGAGCGUUCUCAGUGCACUGAAGCUGUGCCGUGAGGCAUGGUGGAGCGCUGAGAAGUGAGAAUGUUGGCAUGAGUAAUCACAAGUCGGAUGAGAACUCCGACCUCCGAAAGCCCAAGGUUUCCUUGGCAAUGACAAUCAACCAAGGGUUAGGCGGGCCUAAGGUGUGCGCCGAACGGUGUACACCGAUGGACAGCCGGUUAAUAUUCCGGCCCGGCCGCAAAAUAAUCUUGAAGUGACGCAGUCAAAAUUUUUGGGAGGAUUAUUGGAUUUCCGAGUUCCGCCUUUGGGCGGGACGCCUCAAAGACAAGAUUGCCCAGAAAAGCUUUAAGUAUACUAUUUUGAUGGCCUUCGUACCGCACACUGACACAGGUGGGCAGGCGUGAAUACGCCAAGGUGAACGAGUGAAAGCUCCUAAAGGAACUCGGCAAAAAAGUAGGCGUAAGUUCGCAAUAUGCCUUGCCCAAGUCCGUAAGGAUUUUGGGUUGCAACAAAAGAUUCCAAGUGACUGUUUAUCAAAGACACAGGUCCCUGCUAACUCGUAAGAGGAUGUAUAGGGGCUGAGAUCUGACCAGUGCCCGUGUGUUAACAGCGUCGGUCAGGAUGCAACGCAAGUUGCGUACUGGCUACAUGCUUUAAGCCACAGGUGAACGUCCGCGGUAACUCUGACCGUGUUAAAGUAGCGUAACCCCUUGCCGUGUAAGUUACGGCCCGCAUGAAAGAUUUAACGACUUGGAAACUGUCUCUAGGAGCCGCUCGGUGAAAUCGCAAUACCGGUGAAGAUGCCGGUUACCUGCGGCUAGACGGAAAGACCCCGGGAGCUUUACUGUAGGGUGGUAUUGAAUUUAGAGUUUUGAUGCGUAGCGUAGUGGGUAGGAUUUGAAGUCUCGUUUUCGGACGGGACGGAUCCGCCAAUGAAACACCCAUCUUUGAAACUCUCUGUUCUAACCCCACUUUGUGGGGGACAGUGCUACUUGGGCAGUUUAAGUGGGGCGCUUGCCUCCUAAAUUGUAACGGAGGCGUUUAAAGGUCGGCUAGCUCCGGAUGGAAAUCGGAGCGAUAGGGCAAAGCCAAAAGCCGGCUUUACUGCGAGACGGGUAUGUCGAGCAGUUGGGAAACCAGAACUUAGUGAACCGAUGCUGGUUAAUAGAAUCGGCAAAGAUCAUCAACCAAAAGUUACCCCGGGGAUAACAGGCUAGUAGGGCCCGCGAGUCCAUAUCAACGGCCCUGUUCGGCACCUCGAUGUCGGCUC
rnacentral:rRNA from 1 species